rnacentral:rRNA from 1 species
AUUGAACGCUGGCGGCAGGCCUAACACAUGCAAGUCGAGCGGAUGAGGGGAGCUUGCUCCCUGAUUUAGCGGCGGACGGGUGAGUAAUGCGUAGGAAGCUGCCCGAUAGAGGGGGAUACCAGUUGGAAACGACUGUUAAUACCGCAUAAUGUCUACGGACCAAAGUGUGGGACCUUCGGGCCACAUGCUAUCGGAUGCGCCUACGGGGGAUUAGCUAGUUGGUGAGGUAAUGGCUCACCAAGGCGACGAUCUCUAGCUGGUUUGAGAGGAUGAUCAGCCACACUGGAACUGAGACACGGUCCAGACUCCUACGGGAGGCAGCAGUGGGGAAUAUUGGACAAUGGGCGCAAGCCUGAUCCAGCCAUGCCGCGUGUGUGAAGAAGGCCUUCGGGUUGUAAAGCACUUUCAGCGAGGAGGAAGGGUGGUGUGUUAAUAGCACAUCAUUUUGACGUUACUCGCAGAAGAAGCACCGGCUAACUCUGUGCCAGCAGCCGCAGUAAUAC